AGAGUUUGAUCCUGGCUCAGGAUGAACGCUAGCGACAGGCUUAACACAUGCAAGUCGAGGGGCAUCAUGAGGUAGCAAUACCUUGAUGGCGACCGGCGCACGGGUGAGUAACGCGUAUGCAACCUGCCCGAUACCGGGGUAUAGCCCAUGGAAACGUGGAUUAACACCCCAUAGUACUUUUAUCCUGCCUGGGAUGUGAGUUAAAUGUUCAAGGUAUCGGAUGGGCAUGCGUCCUAUUAGUUAGUUGGCGGGGUAACAGCCCACCAAGACGAUGAUAGGUAGGGGUUCUGAGAGGAAGGUCCCCCACAUUGGAACUGAGACACGGUCCAAACUCCUACGGGAGGCAGCAGUGAGGAAUAUUGGUCAAUGGACGUAAGUCUGAACCAGCCAAGUCGCGUGAGGGAAGACUGCCCUAUGGGUUGUAAACCUCUUUUAUAAGGGAAGAAUAAGUUCUACGUGUAGAAUGAUGCCUGUACCUUAUGAAUAAGCAUCGGCUAACUCCGUGCCAGCAGCCGCGGUAAUACGGAGGAUGCGAGCGUUAUCCGGAUUUAUUGGGUUUAAAGGGUGCGUAGGCGGUUUAUUAAGUUAGUGGUUAAAUAUUUGAGCUAAACUCAAUUGUGCCAUUAAUACUGGUAAACUGGAGUACAGACGAGGUAGGCGGAAUAAGUUAAGUAGCGGUGAAAUGCAUAGAUAUAACUUAGAACUCCGAUAGCGAAGGCAGCUUACCAGACUGUAACUGACGCUGAUGCACGAGAGCGUGGGUAGCGAACAGGAUUAGAUACCCUGGUAGUCCACGCCGUAAACGAUGAUCACUGGUUCUGUGCGAUAUAUUGUACGGGAUUAAGCGAAAGUAUUAAGU
rnacentral:rRNA from 1 species